GCAAGUCCUAGUUCAAAACUGCAAAUAAAGUGUAGCCAUCUCAACCAUCGAACACGACAUCAUUGAAACAGAAGACAAGAGAGAUGCUCAAGCCUCGACAGCAACCCUUCCAGCCACUUGGUCCAGAUCACGCCUUCCCUGGGAGGUGAUGAGCCGCCCACUGCAAAGAAAACACAAGAUAAGCUUCUCUAAGCCACAAUGCCACAAAACAUUAUCAAGCAAGACAAAAAGGCUCUUUGUAGUUGGAUUACCCCUUGGGAUCAACAUCAAUGAUGCCCAUCUUCUGCAACUGCUGCAGGAUGUUACGUGAAAUGGCACCACUACUCUUGCAGAAGUGCGGUGGGCGGGAGCCGUUCCUCUGGCGACCACCGUAGAUCUUCUGGAAGCCACCCACACCAAUGCCUUGCCUCAGGUAGAUCUUCCUUGCAAUCGAGGCUGAAGGAGGAACAAAAUUGGAAAUCUGAUUAUGUGCAAAAUCUGGAUAUUCAGAUUCAUAAAUGAUAUUGCAGAAGAACAAGAGUCCUCACCAGCCCUAGUGUAGUACCAGUCAGGGUCAUAAGGAGGGAGCUCCUUGAACCUCGCAGUCUUCACAAUGUCAACCCACUCAGGGAGCUCCAUCUAACAAGAUAAAUUAGUUAUAUUAGUUAUAAGAAAUUCAACAUUGUAUAUAUGGAUAUUGACAAGCAGACAAUUAAUGCAACAGAGAAGAAACCAUUUCUCCCAGCCUCACAUCUCUAAUCUAAUUGCUUGUUCAGAUAUAAAACAUAAGCUUUGUUUAUUGAAGCAACAAAAACUGCAACUACAAUUUUGAAUUAAAAGCCAACUAAAUAAAAGGAAAGCUUGAUAGUAGUAGCACUUGCAAAAAAAAUGAGCCGAACAACAUUCACGUGAUAAAUGUUUGAUGCAACAACCAGAAUAAGCUAUUUCACUCAAAGACUACUUGACAGAUAAAAAUAGAAACAAAUAAAUCACCUCAUAUGGGGCCUGUUAUGCUCAGGGAACUUCCUAGAAUUUGCCCAAAUCCCAAGUAAUAUGGAUAAUAAAACAGCCUUUACAAUCCAACAAAUACGAUCAAAACUAACUUUGACAAUCUACGUAGACUUCAACAUAUCAACACCAACAACUGAGUAUUGAUCUGCCACAUAUACCAAAAGACCCAGGAAAGCAGCAUUUCCACACGGCAAGUUUGUCUAGGACCAACACAAACACAAUUCAUGAUUGAAGUUACUAGUGCUACCCAUUCAGUAGUCCAACUAAGGUUGCAGUUUAUUUGCCACCACAAAUCUCCAAUCAAUCCCAAAUCCGUUCUCCCUAUCUCUAAUCAAGCAAGUCGGCGAACAAAGCAUCUUUUUUCCACAAAUCUGAGGAUGGGCGCCAUGUACCGGCCUCCAGAGAGGUGUUGCCAGGGAAGAGCUGAGGCCGCGCACGGCCUGCUGCUGCUGCGGGAUCCAGCGUUGGGCGCAGCCUGGGACAAGAUGUGGCGUCGAGGGCCAGCGGCGGGCGCGACCGGCGGCAAAGCUACUGCGCGGGUGCCGGCGGCGGAUCAGCCAGGACACGCUGGGCCGCGCGACGAAAGGCCAACCUACGGAGGUGCGCAAGGCCGCGAGGGGGCUUGGACCGUGGGGCGCGACCAUUCUACGAACUGCAGCGUCGAAUCGGAAGGGGAAGGCGGGCGAGUCGGGCGGCGUUACCUUGCCGGAGCGCUUGAGGUGGGCGGAGUAGGCCUUGACGAACUCGUGCGGGUUGACAUCCUUCACCGUCCUUGCCGUAGAAGCCGCCAUCCUGCCACCGCCACCGCCGCCGGGGGACGAGAGGGAGACAGGGGAGGAGAAGGGGUGGGCGCUGCGGCUGCUCGG
rnacentral:lncRNA from 1 species